rnacentral:lncRNA from 1 species
CUCUAUGGGUCCGCUAUUGGGGUGCUAUGGUCUCUAUGGGGUGGGUAUGGGGUACUGUGUAGGUUGUCCUAUGGGUGCCAUGGGUGUCCUAUGUCGGUUAUGGGUCUCUACGGGGCACUAUGGGGUGUCUAUGGGGUGGUUAUGGGGUUGCUAUGGGGUCUCUAUGGGGCGCUAUGGGGUGGUUAUGGGGCGCUAUGGGGUGGUUAUGGGUGGUUAUGCGGUCACUAUGGGGCGUAUCAGGGGUGGUUAUGGGGCAGUAUGGUGUGGUUAUGGGGCGCUAUGGGGUCGCUAUGGGGCGCUAUGGGGUGCUAUUGGGCGUCUAUAGGGUGUCUAUGGGUUACUAUGGGUCGCUAUGGGGCCGCUAUGGGUGUCUAUGGGUCACUAUGGGGUCUCUAUAGGGUGUCUAUGGGGUGGUUAUGGGGUCUCUAUGGGUCUCUAUGGGGUGGUUAUGGGGUGUCUAUAGGGUGUCCAUGGGGUGGUUAUGGGGUCUCUAUGGGUCUCUAUGGGUCCCUAUGGGGUUAUGGGGUAUCUAUGGGUCCCUAUGGGGUAUCUAUGGGUCCCUAUGGGUCUCUAUGGGUCGCUAUGGGGUGGUUAUGGGGUAUCUAUGGGUUACCUGGUGCUCUGCGUCUCUCCAUGAGCUCACUCCGUGGCGCUGUGGGUUCAUCCUCAAAGUCAAACUCGGUUGGGACGGGAGCUCUGACAACAAAGUGAACCAAAAUCAGCCUUUUUUGACCCAAAAAUGGGUUUAAUGGCCUAAAUGGCAGCCAAUGACCCCAAAUGGCACCUAAUGGGGUCUCCCCCCUCAACCCCCCCCCCACAAUUGGGGUCUUCCCC